CAUAGACUUUUUACACCGGACAGGGUACAAGGGGCAGAACACACUUUAAAUACUCAACUUAACAAGGGAAUUAAUGAGACACACCUGAGAUCAAUGAACAAAAUCAAACUCGAGGGAAAACUAUGUCAUGGAAAACACAUGUGGAGAAAAACAAACAAAACAGGAACAAAGGUCUGACAUUACCUCCCCCUCCCGGAAGGAGCUUCCUCGUGCCACAUAACUUCCAGAGGGGAGGAGGGGUGGGCACUCUGGACGCCUCUAGGGACAGGCUUGUACGGGAUGGGAAGCCUCCAGGGCGGUACCGCUUUCCGGGACCCAUGGCGGAUCAGGUAGUUCAGGGUGCCACAGCAGAGCAGGCAGUUUAGUGUGCAAUAGCGGAGCGGACAGCUCUGGGAGCCAUGGCAGAGCAGGCAGUCCAGGGGGCCAUGGCGGGAUGGCAUAGACCUAUAGCCUGCACUCGGGGACAGGAGCCCUCUCUGGGCUGGAAUCAGGAACAGGAGCCCUCUCUGGGCUAUACUCGGGAUCUGAGGUUCUCCCUGAGCUAUACAUGGGAACCGCAGCCCUCUCUGGGCUAUACGUGGAAACAGGAGAUGAAGGAAGGUUGGACACCUUGUUGAGCACAGUGGACUGAGUGGGCUCCCAGUUGAGCUCUGCGAUGUGAGUGGGCUCCCAGCUAAGCUCUUUGAUGUGAGUGGGCUCCCAGUUGAGCUCUGUUACGUAAGUGGGCUCCCUGUUGAGCUCUGUGACGUGAGUGGGUACCCUGUUGAGCUCUUUGGAGCAUUUUGGAGCGGACUCUGGAGAGCAUCCUGGAGUGGACUCUGGAGAGAGGAUCAGGCUUGACAACAGUCUCUUCCUCCUUAUUCUCCUCUUUUGGGCCGAGGUGGAGGAGAUAGCUGCUGUCAUAAUUAGGGCUGGGUACCGAGUUUGAUACUUUUUAGGUACCGACCGUAUUGCCUCUACUAUCGAGUAUCGAAAAAUGACAUGUUGUUCGGUUCCAGAUUUCGAUACCUAAGGAGUUAACUCGUCAAUGUCAGUGCUCAAACAAGUACAUAUGAAAUGCACAACAACACACAUAAAGUCACUCACACACACGAGACGCGCG
ensembl:lncRNA